rnacentral:rRNA from 1 species
AAACAUGGCGGUUUGAUUAUUAAUUUAACGUCUGACCUGCCCACUGAUAUUGAAGGGCCGCAGUAUUUUGACUGUGCAAAGGUAGCAUAAUCAUUAGGUUCUUGAUUAGAAUCUGGUAUGAAAGGUUUAACGAAAUAUUAACUGUCUCUGUUUGAUGUAUUUAAUUUAACUUUUUAGUAAAAAGGCUAAUAUUUAAAUGAGGGACGAGAAGACCCUAUAGAGCUUGAUAGUUGUUUUAUGACAUUUAGAUAGUUUUUGAAUAAUUGUUGUUAAGAUAACUGUUUUACUGGGGCGGUACUAAGAUAAAUUUAACUCUUGUUUUGUUAAUAAAGAUAGUUAGAUAAUUGAAUCAUUCUAAUUGAUUUUAGAUAAAGUUACCUUAGGGAUAACAGCGUAAUUUAUUUGGAGAGUCCUUAUUGAUAAAUAUGUUUGCGACCUCGAUGUUGAAUUAAGAAUUCAGGGGGAUGGAGCAGUUUCCGUUGAGAGUCUGUUCGACUCUAAAAUUCUUACGUGAUCUGAG